rfam:Culex pipiens quinquefasciatus supercont3.22 genomic scaffold, whole genome shotgun sequence.
GUGGCUGACUGGUUACGGUGUUCGCUUUGUAAACGAAUGGUCCUGGGUUCAAUUCCCAUC